AUUGAACGCUGGCGGCAGGCCUAACACAUGCAAGUCGAACGAGUGGCGGACGGGUGAGUAAUGUCUGGGAAACUGCCUGAUGGUGGGGGAUAACUACUGGAAACGGUAGCUAAUACCGCAUACCAUCGGAUGUGCCCAGAUGGGAUUAGCUCGUAGGUGGGGUAAUGGCGCACCUAGGCGACGCUCCCUAGCUGGUCUGAGAGGAUGACCAGCCACACUGGAACUGAGACACGGUCCAGACUCCUACGGGAGGCAGCAGUGGGGAAUAUUGCACAAUGGGCGCAAGCCUGAUGCAGCCCUGCCGCGUGUGUGAAGAAGGCCUUCGGGUUGUAAAGCACUUUCAGCGGGGAGGCGUUACCCGCAGAAGAAGCACCGGCUAACUCCGUGCCAGCAGCCGCGGUAAUAC
rnacentral:rRNA from 1 species